UCAGUGGCGGACGGCUGAGUAACACGUAGGAAUCUUCCCCUGUUUGGAGGAUAGCCCCGCGAAAGCGGGGAUAAAACUCCAUAAUCCCGCCAAUUGGCGGGUAAAAGACGUAACUGUCUGAAUAGGGAUGAGCCUGCGGCUUAUCAGGUAGUUGGUAGGGUAACGGCCUACCAAGCCUAUUACGAGUAGCUGGACUAAGAGGUUGGUCAGCCAGAGGGGGACUGAGACACGGCCCCCACUCCUACGGGAGGCAGCAAUCAGGAAUAGUCGGCAAUGGACGAAAGUCUGACCGCGCGACGCCGCGUGUAGGAAUAAGCUCUUCGGAGCGUAAACUACUGUUGUAAGGGAAGAAAUCCGCCAGCUGGCGGAUUGACGGUACCUUACGAGAAAGGGGCCGCUAACUGCGUGCCAGAAGCGUCGGUAAUACGUGGGCCCCAAACAUUAUCCGGUUUUACUGGGUGUAAAAAGUAGUGUAGGUGUCCCAAUAAGUUUUUGUUUAAAUAUUAAGGCUUAACCUUAAGAAAGGCAAAAAUACUAUUGGGAUAGAGUUUUCUUUAGGGAGACUGGAACUUAGGGAGGAGUAGUGAAAUGCGUUGAUACCCUAGGGAACACUCGUGGCGAAGGCGAGUCUCUGAAAGAUAACUGACACUGAGACACGAAAGCUAGGGUAGCGAAGCAGAUUAGAGACCUGCGUAGUCCUAGCCUUAAACGCAUGCUUGCUAGCUGCAUUGUCUUCCGAUUUAUCGGAGCACGGUGUGGCGAAGGUAACCCGUUAAGCAAGCCACCUGGGGAGUACGGCCGCAAGGUUGAAACUCAAAGGAAUUGGCGGGGAGGCACACAACCAGUGGAACAUGUGGUUCAAUUCGAAACGAAACGAAGAACCUCACCAGGGUUUGACAUCCAAGCGUCCUAUUUCAUGGAAACAUGGAAAAUUCGUAAGAAGGCUUGGACAGGUGCUGCAUGGCUGUCGUCAGUUCGUUCCGUGAGGAGUGCCCUUAAGUGGGACAACGAACGCAACCCCCAUCCUGUGUUAUAUUUGUCACAGGAAACUGCCUCGCCUUUGGCGAGGAGGAAGGAGGGGCAGACGUCAAGUCAGCAUGGUCCUUAUACCCUGGGCUACACACAUGUUACAAUGGAUAAAAACAAUGGGUUCUGCCAACUUGCAAAAGUGAGCAAAUCUCAGAAAUUUAUCCUCAGUGGGGAUUGAGGUCUGCAACUCGACCUCAUGAACGCGGAAUUGGUAGUAAUCGCGGGUCAGCUAUACCGCGGUGAAUACGUUCUUGCCUCUUGCACACACCGCCCGUCAAGCCAACAAAGUCGGGAAAAUUUGAAUCCGCCGUUUGGCGGAGAGGAUAUUUCCGGCGAUGGGGGUUAAGUCGUAACAAGGUAACC
rnacentral:rRNA from 1 species